rnacentral:lncRNA from 10 species
UGGAAAGGACCUUGGAAAUCCUUUUAAAGGAGGAUGGGGGUGGAAAUGCACAGGUUGCUUCUCUCUCUCUCUCUCUUUUUUUUUUUUUUUGAGACGGUCACCCAGGCUGUAGUGCAGUGGCGUGAUCUCGGCUCACUGUGGCCUCCACCUCCCAAGUAGCUGGGAUUACAGGCUUGCGCCAUCAUGCAGGGCUAAUUUUUGUAUUUUUAGUAGAGACGAGGUUUCAUCAUGUUGGCCAGGCUGGUCUGGAACUCCUGACCUCAAGUGAUCUGCCCACCUUGGCCUCCCAAAGUGCUGGGAUUAAAGGCAUGAGCCACCACGCCUGGCCUAGGUUGUUCCUCUACUGUGAAUCUUGAGGUUAUGGUUUCCACUAGACUAUAGUGCUCAACUAUAGUGGCCUAUUUUAAGUGGCCUUAUAAUUCCUAACCAAAGUGACUUGUGAAACAGAGGACCCUGGAUAAAUUUAAAUGUUAUAAAGAUGAUAAAAUGUACAGAGAUUUCCUGUUAGACAAGACAAAUUAGAGUUUUCCUACUGACUUAACUUGGGUGAAGAGGGAACAGAAAUCUUUGCCCCCUGACUUUGGAAAUCUCGUUUAACCUUCAAACUGGCGAUGUCAAGGGUUCCAAGUCCUCCACCUCCGGCAGAAAUGUCGAGUGGCCCCGUAGCUGAGAGUUGGUGCUACACACAGUGUUCUCAGCAGCUGAAAAAAGUUAUAAAAGCUAUUGGUCAGUGUGAGAUUUCUUAAAAUGUGGAUGAGGAACAUAAGGUGAGAAAAACCUGAAAACUGCUAUCUUCCUAUCAGGAUCAUGCAGAGGGAGGGAGGGGAAAUGAUAAUCUGCCCUUCAUCCUGUUUUUUCAGGUUGUCCACUUCCUAUUUAAUUGCUUCCUGUUUUUCUAUCAACAGAUCAAGGUAGUGAAAUUCUCCUACAUGUGGACCAUCAAUAACUUUAGCUUUUGCCGGGAGGAAAUGGGUGAAGUCAUUAAAAGUUCUACAUUUUCAUCAGGAGCAAAUGAUAAACUGAAAUG